UAAAUAGAUAAGUUUUAUUUCCGAGAAUUGGAGAUACAAUUCCAAAUUUAUUCUUGGGUCAAAUUAACCCUUAUAUGAACAGCUAGGAUAUUGAGCAUAAUGGAUAUUCGCAUCUACAAUUCCCCUCUUAGAUCAUAUCAUGAUCUACCUUACGGAAUAUCCAUGGGAGGCCUGCGGCAGAGAAACCAAAGGAGGUAUAUUCAGACGUGCUAAUCACGUCUGCGGGACUUUCAUUAUUUCUUCACCUCGAUUUCCCCCAUUUGCUCUGUGCCGUAGGUUUUCCCUUUAAGAGGAGAUCGUGC